rnacentral:rRNA from 1 species
AGCAGCCGCGGUAAUUCCAGCUCCAAUAGCGUAUAUUAAAGUUGUUGCAGUUAAAAAGCUCGUAGUUGAAUUUCGAGACCGGUUUACUGGUCGUGCUUUUGUACGUACUGGUAUUAUUGGUUUCUCCUUUCUGACGAAUCAUAAUGCCAUUAAUUUGGUGUUUUGGGGAAUCAGGACUGUUACUUUGAAAAAAUUAGAGUGUUUAAAGCAGGCUCACGCUUGAAUACAUUAGCAUGGAAUAACGAAAUAGGACGUUUGAUUUUAUUUUGUUGGUUUCUAGGAUCGACGUAAUGAUUAAUAGGGAUAGUUGGGGGCAUUAGUAUUCAAUUGUCAGAGGUGAAAUUCUUGGAUUUAUUGAAGACUAACUACUGCGAAAGCAUUUGUCAAGGAUGUUUUCAUUAAUCAAGAACGAAAGUUAGGGGAUCGAAGACGAUCAGAUACCGUUGUAGUCUUAACCAUAAACUAUGCCGACUAGGGAUCGGAUGAUGUAUUUUUAAUGACUCAUUCGGCGCCUUACGGG